UACAGGGGGUGCAAACGUUGCUCGGAAUUACUGGGCGUAAAGGGUGCGUAGGCGGUUGUUUAAGUCUGUUGUGAAAUCCCCGGGCUCAACCUGGGAAUGGCAAUGGAUACUGGGCAGCUAGAGUGUGUCAGAGGAUGGUGGAAUUCCCGGUGUAGCGGUGAAAUGCGUAGAGAUCGGGAGGAACAUCAGUGGCGAAGGCGGCCAUCUGGGACAACACUGACGCUGAAGCACGAAAGCGUGGGGAGCAAACAGG
rnacentral:rRNA from 1 species